rnacentral:tRNA from 1 species
GCCGUGAUCGUCUAGUGGUUAGGACCCUACGUUGUGGUAACUACUAGAUAUAAAUCAGUAGAAACCCAGGUUCGAAUCCUGGUCACGGCA